rnacentral:sRNA from 1 species
ACACAGGAGAGGAGGUGGUCCGCCAAAUUGAUUGACUUAUGGACUUGUGAGGUGGCUGCGAGCUAGCAGCGCCAGGGGAGUCACCCGCGCGCGCUGGCGAAUUCCCCGCAGUCACCCGGCCCCCGAGCCUCUCGGUUUUGUCCAACCAGGAACACAAGGCUCGGGGGCCGCUUCAU